UGGCCUUGAUAGCUGGUUAUCAUUGUACAAGACAUCUUAGCAUUAUGGCAGAACAAUUAUUAUGCGUCUAUCAAUGAUAACAAUGAUACCUGAUUGAAGAUUAGGUGGUCUACAAUCCUCAGGUUCUCCAAAACUAUAUCUCAAGCCUAUCAACUCUGAAAAUUAAAGGUCGCCACCAUGCUGUCUCUCUCUGGCCGCCCCUCACAUCGUCUUGGUUUGUUGGUUGCCGCUAUGUCUCCUGCUGGUUCGCCCGCCGCUAUCGCUCGAAGGGUUGUAUAGGCCGUUGCUUAUGCCACUACUCUGCAGUGACCAGUGAGGACCAUGGCAUCGAGGCAGCCCAAAAGGGAAACACCGCCGGCCACAACGCUGGUAGAGGCCUCCCUGUCUGCGCCGGUGACUGCUUAAAAUCGCCGCCGCCACUGCCGUUGUCUUUGUUGCUUCUUUGCAGGCAUUUGAUUAAGUCAAAGGCAACAUGAAGGCACGACGAUGAUCAAGGUCUUUAUGUACGCCGAGUAGUAUCUUUUGCCUACCAUACCGUAUGAAAAUAGAUCAGGAUGAGACAAUUAAGUCACGUACUAUGUAUUUACUGUGGUCUCUAUAAGGAGAACAUAUCUGGUCUAUAUCUGAAUCUAUGAACUAUUAUAUCGAUGAUGUCGAUUAUGUCUA